GAUGAACGCUGGCGGCGUGCCUAAUACAUGCAAGUCGAGCGAACUGAUUAGAAGCUUGCUUCUAUGACGUUAGCGGCGGACGGGUGAGUAACACGUGGGCAACCUGCCUGUAAGACUGGGAUAACUUCGGGAAACCGAAGCUAAUACCGGAUAGGAUCUUCUCCUUCAUGGGAGAUGAUUGAAAGAUGGUUUCGGCUAUCACUUACAGAUGGGCCCGCGGUGCAUUAGCUAGUUGGUGAGGUAACGGCUCACCAAGGCAACGAUGCAUAGCCGACCUGAGAGGGUGAUCGGCAAAACUGGGAAGUAGACACGGCCCAGACUCCUACGGGAGGCAGCAGUAGGGAAUCUUCCGCAAUGGACGAAAGUCUGACGGAGCAACGCCGCGUGAGUGAUGAAGGCUUUCGGGUCGUAAACCUCUGUUGUUAGGGAAGAACAAGUACGAGAGUAACUGCUCGUACCUUGACGGUACCUAACCAGAAAGCCACGGCUAACUACGUGCCAGCCGCCGCCGUAAAAC
rnacentral:rRNA from 1 species